UUCAAUCGCUCCGGUUUCCUCAUUUAACCAAAAGGGCAAAGACGAGCACGCUCUCUCUCUCCACAGUCCACACACACAUUUUCUCUUUCCUUUUUUGCAGUGGUUUUGCCAUUUUCGGUCCAUGGCCGUCGUUCACUGUACGAUUCAUUCUGCAACAUCUGGUACGCUAUCCCCGAAACCUGUAGACACCUUGCAUGUGUGUUUGUGUGCCUGUGUCUCUGGAGACAGAGAGAGAGAAAGAGAGUGGGGUUUGGUUUUGUUGCUCUUGUUUUGGGUGUUCUUGACGGGGGGGAAAACCCUAGCUGUCACCGACACGCGAUGAUGAAUCUCUUUGAUGUUUAGAGACUCCUAAAGUAACUCUCCUCAAAUGGGUAUCUCCACCAUCUCCACAGAUCUGAUUUCUCCUCCUCCUCUUCUUCUUCUUCUUCUUCUUCUGAAUUCUGCUCCAUUGUCUUGCUGUUCUCUUGCAUCAUCUCUUUGUUAGGGUUGAUAUGGGGCAUAACAAGAACUUGACAGAAGAGAGUGAGCACACAGAGGUAAUUGUAUAGAGGCUAUACCUUUGCUUUUGUGUGCUCAUUUCUCUUUUCGUCAAGCUUCCCGUUGCCCGACUCUCUCUCUCUCUCUCUCUCUCUCUCUCUCUCUCUCUCUCUCUGUGGCUUUCUAUGUGGGACUGGCAAUGAGCCAAAGCAAAAGAAAACUGAGAACGCGCGACUGGUUCACAUGGGUUCUGUGAGUCUGGGUUUGAUUAAGCUGUGAAAGCUUUUUCCUUUGUUUCCUUUUGGAUUUUUUAAGCUUGAUGAUCAGCAACAGUUAGCAGCUUCAGAGAGCGUGACUUUCGAUGGGGUAAUUAAUGCCCUUUACUGUGCGGAUUUAACGGAAAAUUGCAUAUUUUAUGCGAGACCGUUCAGGUAAUUAAUAAUCUUCAUUGUUAUUUAUUUAUUGCAUUAUUUUGGUCUUAGACUCAGAGAGGAAUACCCUGUCCUUCGACUCUUCUACAGUUUGAUUUUCUUGCAUGCAAUAUGGAACAGGGAAAGCAUGACAUAGUUAAUGUCCAUAAGAAUGCUUAUUUUCAUGUCUUAUAAUCUGUUCUAGUUCUUGGUCUCUAGCCAGAUUAAGUGGCUUUUUACUGUAUUUUUCAAAUUAACAUGCUAGAAAACCUUCUUAGCUAGUUCAUACUCCCUCUUCCAUUCUCAAUAAAUAUAGGAUUUGGAGAAGGACAACAGUUCUAGAGCCAUCAAACUGUGGGAUGAGAGACACUUCGAGUAAACAAGAUGUAGUCUGAUGAUCAAGCCACUACUGGAAUAUGUCUUGGCGAGUUUGUGGAUUAUAUUCAUCGUUUAUCUCUCAUCUUCUCUGGGUUCUUGCAGAUAAGAAAUGCUCCUUUGGAGUCCCGUUGAAAAUAAUCGGGUGAAAGAAUUGAUGGCACCGAGAGAGCAACUGUUUACUGUCGGUUUAAUUUUCCCUCAUUUGUUUGCACGGCUAAUUUUGUUUGUGUUAAUAAGGAGAGGCGAUUUUUAUCUUUUUGAUGGAUUAUAGCUUGAUAGGAACCUAGCUAUAGGAGUCCCGUGAGGAAACUCACUUAGUAUUUUCGUUCUUUUAAGUCAUUUCUUUCCUUCUUUUGAUGGUUCAAGGAUGAUAAGGAUGAUGAAUAAUUGAGUUCUCUCUCUCUCUCUCUCUCUCUCUCUCUCUCUCUCUCUCUCUAUCAUGCGCACGCUAGCGCAAAAUAUGAUAGCCUUGGUGAGGUACCACAUUGAUAUCAAAGCAUCGGGCUUAAGCCCUCCACCAAGAGCCAAGGGUAAAUCCCUUUCACAAAGAAGGUAGGCCCAACUGGGCGGUGGGGGUAUUAGUUCCAUGAUUUGGGAAUCUUCUUGAAUCUUGGCACAAGCAGUUAUACAAGGCUGAUUUGGAGUCAAGUCUCUUACAUAUUUAGAUGGCGUUCUGCUAAAGUAUGAUUACUGUAGAAAUGGUACUUCUCAAGCUAUGAAAUAUAGUUUAUGUGAAGUAUUGACCUUCUUCCAUGUCUCUUGGGGAUCAGAAUUUGAGAUAUAUAGUUUUCAUGGACAAAAGUAGAAGAAUACUGGGGCGAAUAUUUUCUUCUUUGAUCGAUCUAGCUUUGUUCCACUAAAUCCUUUGUUUGUUUGCUGCAAGAGUUUGUAGAUUCUUGGCUACUACUUAGCAACCCCUAGUCUGUCCUUAUACUUGCUCCUUAACAUACAUCAACUGAGAUGUCCCACCAACUAAAAUAGUUGUUUCUUCCAAGAAACAUGCUUGACAUAUACUGUUUUUAUCAGAGAAGCAGUCUAGAGAGCAAUUCCACACAUUUUUAUUGUCCUUUUUGUGAUUUUCUUGCAUAUAACUUGUGUUUAUUCUCUCAUUCUCUUGAGGAUGAAAAUAUGUCCUAGUAGUACAAGCAAGUCGUGGCUUACACACAAGGUAGAGUUUCCUGAGAAGCAAGGCAAAGAAAUGAAAGAUAAGGGUAGUGGCACAACAGAGGUAUGUAUGAGGUUGCUCUUCUAUUUCCGAACAUUAUAUCAUGGUGGCCGCUGGGUUUUACAAUUGGGAGUCGAACAGGCUGUAGGUACUUAAUGAACAAACCUUGUGGUGAAAGGGUUCGAUAGUGCUUAAUUUUUCAUGAUUUGUGUCAUAGUGAGUUGUUGGCUUUACUAAAUUUGCACGCUGUGAUAUAUGAAUAUAUGAAUAGAACAGUUGCUUCAUCAUUUUGUGAAGGUGUGUAAUAUUCCAUGAUUUAUGACAUCAUACAUAUAUAUGUAGUUUAACAUUUGGAUGAUCACUUUGUAUGGUAGAGAUAGUUUUUUAGGUGGCACUUUUACGGAAAAAAGAAGAAAUGCUUUGUUGCUUAUCCUAUCUUCUGUUCUCACACAUCACAUGUUUCCUGUACAUUUAGUGUUUCCCUUGUAGCUUGUCUAACAUAUCACAUGUUUCCUGUUCCAUUAGCGUCUCUUUUGUGGUACUUAUAGAGCAUUAUUAUGGUGCAUAAUUUGCUGAUGCAUAUGUUGACCGAAGAGACUUUGAGAGAAAUUUUGUGGUUUACCUGCUUGUAGAGUUUGUCGAUGUCAUCUACAUUUGGCCAACUAUAUUAAUCAACAUAAAAUUGAUCCUUUGAAGGACUUUGUGCUUAUUCCUUUUCAUCUUGCACUAAUCAAUUGCUUUUACGAUGUGGAGAUACUUUUUAUGGAACUUAUCUAUCCAUCUUUCCUUUUCACCAUAUGUUUGUAAUUGGGUUUUCAUCCUACUUUGCUAGUUGGCAAAUUCUCAUUUUGAUGAUCUAAUCCAUGAUAUGAUAGUCGAAGUGGUUUCUUUAGUUUUCAUUUGCUUGUCCAAUUAUUGAAAUUUGGAGCUAGAACAUUUGGCAAAAUGCUCGAUGAUAACGAGUGUGAAUCCCAGAGAACUGCUUCUCGAACCUAAACCGGUGGUGGUAUUAAUACGGCACAUUGAACGAACAGGUGAAGAACGCGGGCCUUUGCGUCCAUUUUCUGGGGAAAUGGACGAGAAGGGGAUGAGCAAGGGGGAGAGAGAGAGGGGCGACGGCUGGUGGCUGGAGGGUGGGUGACUCAAGGUGGUGUUGUGCGUGCGGCGGUGGUGAUUGGGACUCCAGUAGUUUGGUAGCUUGGUCACAGUACAUGUUACGAGGUGUAGGAGCAACACCUCACAUUACAAAAUUUGCAUUUGAGUAGUUGGAAAUUAUGUUCUUCUUAUUGUUUUUAUUUGCCAAUGAAACUUUUAGUAAUUGGAAGAAUACCAUGUGCACCAGAGGCUUAGAAAAUUAAUCACACAAGACCUUGUUGCA